AAAUAGCAACAACAACAACAAAAGACAAAAAGACAAAAGACAAAAAAAAAAAAAAUCUAACUGUUCCUUGACUUCUAAUGGGUGGAACAGCUCUUAGAGCUUUCUGGGUAAAAUCCUCACAUGUGGCUCUACUAAAAUUUUCCAUUUAUUUCUUAGAUCAACUGAUUAAUCUGUCAUAAACAAUUCUUAUGGCAAAAGCAGGGGCGUCACUGUUUGAGCCCUUCAGGCCUGGCUGAUCACAGGGAGCCUGCAGGCUGAAAAGACUGUGUCUCUUCAAUGGGAGGAAGGUAAACAUGGCGUUCAAGAACUCGGUGGAAAAAAGGGAAGCAAGCAAGCAAGUCUGGUGUGGCCGAUGCACAGAGAGCGAAGGGGAACAGGAACGAAAAACCAUCAGAGACUAUGAUUUUGAAAAGACUUCACUCUAAUUUGGGACUAUGUCUGCCAUUUGGACCUGCAGUUUACUUGUGGCGGCACGCACUGCGAUGACUGCACCGUUUGUCCUGUAAUUGCUGUCUUCCAGUGAGCAGUUUGUUCCAUUAUGAUCUCCUAGAACAUUUUAUCCUCAAAAAGAUGUGGCACAGACUGAGUCUUCAUUUUAAGGAUGCUCCUUGAACUUCUCCAGAUUUUAAACUAUUGAACAAAUGUGUUUUAAAUAAUAAAAAGUGGAGGAAAAAGAAUGAUCAGGAUGGGGACAUAUUUUAAAAUUCAUAUUGAAUAUUUCUUUUAUUUUGGAAAUGCAAAUAUAUUAUGGGAUGUAGCUUAUAGAUAACUCAUUCAUGAUAUGCAUUAAUAGUAUAAAUAAGUGGGUGGAAAUAAACUUUGUAGAAAGAGUAAUUCUGAGUGCUUUGUAGCAAACAAUUUUUUAAACUUUUCUGCAUGCAAGCUUCAUCAUGGAUGCAGUAAUGCUGAUUUUUCAAUAACACUAUCAGUGCAAAGAUUGCUAUUUUUUUGAUAAGUAAAGAAUAAUGAUUUUGUAUGUUUUAUGAAUGUUAGUGUUGCCCACAAGCCAUCUUUGUGAUUUUCAAAGAGAUUUUUGAGUGAUUAGGCAAAUGUGCAUUUUAUUUCAAGGAUACUGAGGUAAUUCAAUUGCCAUUCAAACUAUAUCAAGGCCAUGUGAGAAUAUCUUACAGGAAUGUACGACAGAAAUAAGUGUUUGCAAUUUGCAUAUAUACACUUGCAAUGAUCCGAGGUGACACAUAGCGGAGCAGGAUGGUUAGAAAUAAAGGGAGAGGUCAAAAAACAUACUCCUUCAACAAAACAUGGUUGACGAAGAAAAAUCUAACAGGAGCAUAUGACAAGGCCCUACGGUUUAGAUUUAAAUACAGCUCUGGGCUUCCAGAUUGCCAAGUCAAAUAAGAAUAUAUUUCUCAUUACAGAGCAAAAGAAAACAUACCAAAUCUUCCACCAAGAAAAGGUAGAGCAUCAUUAUACAAAUAAUUCUACGAGGAAGAAGCCUAUUCUUAAGACACAGGUCACAGAUGACUGAGGCAGGAUUUAGCUGGAAAUUCCUUCGAUAUUUCGGAAGGAGGGAGCGUGAUUGUUUCCCAGGCCAGUUUCCACAGCCACUUGCUGAUUUAUGACAUCACGUCGUACACAGUGGGGUGAGCAGGGCCUCUCCACCUGCCCUUAGUUCUCCGAAAGGCUCUCCUUUCCUGCGGCAUUUCGGUUCCCCCUCAUCACUCUUUAAGCCUCAUCACAAAUGUCACCUCUGAAAGGAAGGUUUCUCUAAGCAUCCUGAGGCUUUCUGCUAGCACCCUGGGAGGCACUUGUCAUUCCGAAUUGUUAGAGCUGACUGACUUCUCCUCACUAAACUAGAAACUUCCCGAAGGCAUGGGAUAUCUUGGUUAAUAUUUUAUUUCUAGUACCUAACAUGGUCUUUGACAUUUAACUGAUUAUUACUUGGUGAAUGGAUGAGUAAGUGCAUUUAGGGUUGUACUGAGAAGUCUUGCCACCAAGAAAAAUCCUUGUCAUUACGGGCUUGGGGUCAGGGAACUGAGUGGGGAGAAGCUGAAAAGGGGGAAAGACAGCACUGUGCCUGGAGAAGGGUGGGUGUGUCUCAGCUCAGAGCUCAGAUUUCACCUGCUCUUUUGAGCCGCUUCCCAAUCGUUAAAAGUCAGCCUGGGGGAGUUCCUGUGGCUCAGUGGGUUAAGGAGGCCACAGUGUCACUGAAGUGGCUUGGGUCACUGCUAUGGUGCAGAUUUGAUCCCUGGCCCGGAAACUUCUAGAUGCUGCAGGCAUGGCAAAAAAAAAAAAAAAAAAAAAAAAAAAGGCCAGUGUGGCUAUUGAUUCUUGGGAGUGGAAUUGGAUGAGAGAAGAGAAAAGGUUUUCAUUUAAUCCAUAGUUCCAAAGCUCAAGCUGCUGCAUACUUUGGGGGUUGAAGGAGAGAAUCAGAGGAGACCUUGAAUCAAUUCUAAAAAGUGGAUUUUUCAUGCAUUCAUUUUUCAUAGUGUCUUUAUCAUGGUUGCCUUUGAGAAAGACAAUUUCUAUUUAGCAAGAACUGCUAUUAAUUAGUAUUCAUGGGCAUAGCCUUUCUUUCUGUUUGUUCUGGUGUUCCAAAAUUGCAAGGAAAAAGUGCCUGCCGCUUAAUUAUAUUAAAUCAGAUAUGUGAACAACAAAAUUCUGGCGUCAAGGACUGUAUUAGCAAAUUGUGCCAAUUAGAAACACACAGCAAGUACCAUGCACUUUUCUUUUGCAUCAGUGGCUUUUGAAUCGCACAGUGGCAUAGUAACAAAUACAGCUAGCAUGGUGUGACUGGCACAUUUGCCACACGUUCAUUUUUAGCUACUUUGCCUUUUAAAGAAAACAUACAGUUUGCUGUAGGCCUACACAUAAAAUGCUUCCCAAAAUAUGAGAUAAUUAUAUGCUUAAGGAAUAAUAUGCAAACACGCUUCUUCAGAUAAUUACGAACAUUUAUAUUUCCACACGGGAAGCUACAGCCAAGAAGGAAAGACAUACUGCACUUUGGGAUGUCACCCGUUUGUAAUACACGAGGCGGUGCCCCAUCAAGGACGACAAGAGAAAGUUAACUGUGAUCAAAUGAAUAACUGAAAGUAAAAACAAAUUUUAAAAUGACUACAUCAGGAGUUCCCGCUGUGGCUCAGUGGCCACUAAUCUGAC